AUUGAACGCUGGCGGCGUGCCUAACACAUGCAAGUCGAGCGGCAGCGCGGGAGCAAUCCUGGCGGCGAGCGGCGGACGGGUGAGUAACGCUUGGGAAUCUGCCUGUUAGUGGGGGACAACCCGGGGAAACUCGGGCUAAUACCGCAUACGCACUACGGUGGAAAGCCGGGGACCGCAAGGCCUGGCGCUAACAGAUGAGCCCAAGUCGGAUUAGCUAGUUGGUAGGGUAACGGCCACCAAGGCGACGAUCCGUAACUGGUCUGAGAGGACGACCAGUCACACCGGAACUGAGACACGGUCCGGACUCCUACGGGAGGCAGCAGUGGGGAAUAUUGGACAAUGGGGGAAACCCUGAUCCAGCGACGCCGCGUGGGUGAAGAAGGCCUGCGGGUUGUAAAGCCCUUUCAGUGGGGGAAGAAAAGCCUCGACCUAAUACGUUGGGGUCUUGACGUAACCCAUAGAAGAAGCACCGGCUAACUCUGUGCCAGCCGCCGCCGU
rnacentral:rRNA from 1 species